GGAAAUAUUGCACAAUGGGCGAAAGCCUGAUGCAGCGACGCCGCGUGAGGGAUGACGGCCUUCGGGUUGUAAACCUCUUUCAGCAGGGAAGAAGCGAAAGUGACGGUACCUGCAGAAGAAGCGCCGGCUAACUACGUGCCAGCAGCCGCGGUAAUACGUAGGGCGCAAGCGUUGUCCGGAAUUAUUGGGCGUAAAGAGCUCGUAGGCGGCUUGUUGCGUCGGUUGUGAAAGCCCGGGGCUUAACCCCGGGUCUGCAGUCGAUACGGGCAGGCUAGAGUGUGGUAGGGGAGAUCGGAAUUCCUGGUGUAGCGGUGAAAUGCGCAGAUAUCAGGAGGAACACCGGUGGCGAAGGCGGAUCUCUGGGCCAUUACUGACGCUGAGGAGCGAAAGCGUGGGGAGCGAACAGGAUUAGAUACCCUGGUAGUCCACGCCGUAAACGUUGGGAACUAGGUGUUGGCGACAUUCCACGUCGUCGGUGCCGCAGCUAACGCAUUAAGUUCCCCGCCUGGGGA
rnacentral:rRNA from 1 species